UGAACGCUGCGGCGUGCCUAACACAUGCAAGUCGAACGGAGAAUUAUUGCCGAGGAGACUUCGGUCAAAUCAUAAUAAUUCUUAGUGGCGAACGGGUGAGUAACGCGUGGGGAACCUGCCUCACACCGGGGGGUAGCAGUUGGAAACGACUGGUAAUACCGCAUAAGCGCACAGUAUCGCAUGAUACAGUGUGAAAAACUCCGGUGGUGUGAGAUGGCCCCGCGUCUGAUUAGCUGGUUGGUAGAGUAAAAGCCUACCAAGGCGACGAUCAGUAGCCGGGUUGAGAGACCGGACGGCCACAUUGGGACUGAGACACGGCCCAGACUCCUACGGGAGGCAGCAGUGGGGGAUAUUGCACAAUGGAGGAAACUCUGAUGCAGCGACGCCGCGUGAGUGAAGAAGUAUUUCGGUAUGUAAAGCUCUAUCAGCAGGGAAGAAAGACUCGAAAGAGAGAUGACGGUACCUGACUAAU
rnacentral:rRNA from 1 species